CACUGUCCCAGUGGCCACUGACCGGAGCUGUACAGAUAUCUUCAGAUCUACAGAGUCCAGUGGUCUCCGAUCAACCUACAGCUCGACCGAUGCGUCGCCGGACGGCCGUCCGCGCGGCCCUCGUUGCCGCCGCCCUCCUUGUCCUGCUGGCCACGUACCCACCGACGGCGCGUUCUCCUCCAGUGCUGCUACUGGGUGGCGACGCCGAGGCGGGUGCACGGGGUAGCCGGCCGGCGCAGUCGACGCCACGUGAGAGAAGGAAGCUGGGUGUGGUAGUGGGCCGGCGCUUGGGCCAGAGGGUGCCCGUGAAGCCACCCUCGCCGGACCCCAACGGCUGGAAGACGAUGGUGAAGCCCGUGUCGCCGCCGCCGCCAUCAUCAGUGUACUAGGUGUACGAAAGCAGUAUGCCGAUCUGGUGCUCACUUGCCCAUGCUAUGCAACGUCGCGUACUUGCGCGUGGGUGGUGGCUGCAAAAUCUUGUCUUAAGAUUAACUUUUCAUUUCUUGUGCGGCUUCUAAUGGCACUUAUGGAUGACUGGAACGGUCUUUUGCUCCGUGCAAAGUCAUGAAACCAAAAUAAGGUUAAUACUUUACUCUUUA